AAAAGAAACUAACCAGGAUUCCCUCAGUAGCGGCGAGCGAAGAGGGAAGAGCUCAGUACCCAAUCCCGGUCCGACGGGCGGACCUGGGAACUUUGGUGUAUGGAAGACCGCCCGCCCGGUGUCGCUCGGGGGCCUGAGUCCUUCUGAUCGAGGCUCAGCCCGUGGACGGUGUGAGGCCGGUAACGGCCCCCGUCGCGCUGGGGUCCGGUCUUCUCGGAGUCGGGUUGUUUGGGAAUGCAGCCCUAAGCGGGUGGUAAACUCCAUCUAAGGCUAAAUACCGGCACGAGACCGAUAGUCAACAAGUACCU
rnacentral:rRNA from 1 species